CCAGAGGGUCAAAGGAGCAAAUCCGGUGAAGGGUGGGCUCGCGUCCGAUUAGAUAGUUGGUGAGGUAACGGCCCACCAAGUCGACGAUCGGUAGCCGACCUGAGAGGUGAUCGGCCACAUUGGGACUGAGACACGGCCCAAACUCCUACGGGAGGCAGCAGUGGGGAAUAUUGGGCAAUGGGGGAACCCUGACCCAGCAACGCCGCGUGAGGGAAGAAGGUUUUCGGAUCGUAAACCUCUGUCCUUGGUGAAGAGGAAAGAGACGGUAGCCAAGGAGGAAGCCCCGGCUAACUACGUGCC
rnacentral:rRNA from 1 species